UCCGGUUUGGCACCGGCAGUCCCUCUAGAGUCCUCGGCUUUACCCGUUAGUAACUAAAGAAAGGGGUUGCGCUCGUUGCGGGACUUAACCCAACAUCUCACGACGCGAGCUGACGACAGCCAUGCAGCACCUGGACACCCGGUUCCCUUGCGGGCACAUCUCCAUCUCUAGAGACUUCCGGGGGGUUCCAACCCAGGUAAGGUUCUUCGCGUUGCGUCGAAUUGAACCACAUGCUCCACCGCUUGUGCGGGCCCCCGUCAAUUCCUUUGAGUUUCAGCCUUGCGGCCGUACUCCCCAGGCGGGGCACUUAAUGCGUUAGCGUCGACACUCAGGGGGUCGCUCCCCCAAGCAUCUAGUGCCCAUCGUUUACGGCGUGGACUAC
rnacentral:misc_RNA from 1 species